rnacentral:rRNA from 1 species
AACACAUGCAAGUCGAGCGGAAAGGCCUCUUCGGGGGUACUCGAGCGGCGAACGGGUGAGUAACACGUGAGUAAUCUGCCCUCCACUUUGGGAUAACUACCGGAAACGGUGGCUAAUACCGGAUAUGAGCGCCUCAUGCAUGUGGGGUGUUGGAAAGUUUUUCGGUGGGGGAUGUGCUCGCGGCCUAUCAGCUUGUUGGUGGGGUAAUGGCCUACCAAGGCUUCGACGGGUAGCCGGCCUGAGAGGGUGACCGGCCACACUGGGACUGAGACACGGCCCCGACUCCUACGGGAGGCAGCAGUGGGGAAUAUUGGACAAUGGGCGGAAGCCUGAUCCAGCAACGCCGCGUGAGGGAUGACGGCCUUCGGGUUGUAAACCUCUUUCAGUACCGACGAAGCGGAAGUGACGGUAGGUACAGAAGAAGCACCGGCCAAACUACGUGCCAGCAGCCGCGGUAAUA